rnacentral:misc_RNA from 1 species
UGGCUCUCGCAUCGAUGAAGAACGCAGCGAAAUGCGAUACGUAAUGUGAAUUGCAGAAUUCAGUGAAUCAUCGAAUCUUUGAACGCACCUUGCGCCCCUUGGCAUUCCGAGGGGCACACCUGUUUGAGCGUCGUGAAUAUCUCAACCCAACGCACUUUUGCAUUAAAGUGUCGAUGGGCUUUGGACUUGGAGGCCUUGCCGUGCCCACCGCACCGGCUCCUCUGGAAUGUAUUAGCGAGGACCCUUUGCAUGGCCUUGACGUGAUAAUGAUUGUCGUCGUCGGCCUAGCUCUGCUCGGAACCGCUUCAAACCGUCUCCGGACAAAUGGCUCGCAUGAGUCAAAUCAAACUUGACCUCAAAUCAGGUGGGACUACCCGCUGA